rnacentral:rRNA from 1 species
UACAGAGGGGCAAGCGUUGUUCGGAAUUACUGGGCGUAAAGGGCGCGUAGGCGGCCUUCUAAGUCGAACGUGAAAUCCCCGGGCUCAACCCGGGAACUGCGUCCGAUACUGGAAGGCUUGAAUCCGGGAGAGGGAUGCGGAAUUCCAGGUGUAGCGGUGAAAUGCGUAGAUAUCUGGAGGAACACCGGUGGCGAAGGCGGCAUCCUGGACCGGCAUUGACGCUGAGGCGCGAAAGCCAGGGGAGCAACGGGAU